GAUGAACGCUGGCGGCGUGCCUAAUACAUGCAAGUCGAGCGAACAGACGAGGAGCUUGCUCCUCUGACGUUAGCGGCGGACGGGUGAGUAACACGUGGAUAACCUACCUAUAAGACUGGGAUAACUUCGGGAAACCGGAGCUAAUACCGGAUAAUAUAUUGAACCGCAUGGUUCAAUAGUGAAAGACGGUUUUGCUGUCACUUAUAGAUGGAUGCGCGCCGCAUUAGCUAGUUGGUAAGGUAACGGCUUACCAAGGCAACGAUGCGUAGCCGACCUGGGAGGGGGAUCGGCCACCUGGGAAUGGGGAACCGGCCAAGCUCCUUAGGGGAGGAAGAGGGAGGGAAUCUGCAGAAAGGGGCGAAAGCCGGUCGGGGCAAGGCGGGGGGGGGGAUGAAGGCCUUCGGAUCGUAAACCCUUGUUGUGGGGGCAGAACAAAUGUGUAAGUAACCAUGCACGUCUGGACGGUACCGAAGCAGAAAGCCACGCCUAACUACGU
rnacentral:rRNA from 1 species